UGGUGGCAGCGGAGAAAAACUCAUAUAGUUUCGCUUACAUGGCGCGAAAGUUUCUACGGAGCCGCCGAAAGGCUCUGCUAUGGGUGCUCAGCCGGGGGAG
rnacentral:ncRNA from 2 species